UCCCUGGAGGUCCAAAGGUUAGGAUUCAGUGCUUUCACUGCUGUGGCCCCGAUUCGAUUCCUGGUCAGGGAA
rnacentral:tRNA from 1 species